AUGGAUCUGCGGGUAGAGCUGGACUUUCUUCUCCUGCAGCUCCUCAAAGACCUGGAGCAACUGGAGGCGAAGCGGCAAGCGCUAAACGCCUGGGUGGAGGAGGGCUGGCUCUCGUUCUCCAAAGCACGCUAUGCAAUGGGUGCCAAGUCAGUAGGGCCCCUGCAGUAUGCGUCCCACAUGGAGCCCCAAGUCCGCGUCUGCACCGGCGAGGCUCAGGACGGACUCCAGAAGUUCUGGAUGGUGAGAGCCGGCACCCAGACUCCAGAAGAAGUGGGAUCCCGCGAGCUCUGCGCAGGCGCAAGGGUCUCCCAAGGACCCCAGAGCCAGACUCCUCCCCAGCUCCCCAGAACCCUUUGAAAUGGUUUGGAAUCCUGGUGCCUCACAGUCUGCGACAAGCUCAAGCCAGCUUCCGGGAGGGUCUGCAGCUGGCUGCAGACAUGGCCAGCCUUCAGAGCCGCAUCAGCUGGGGUCGAAGCCAGCUCCAGGAACUCCAGGAGAAACUCAAGCAGCUAAAACCCAGGGCUCCCUGACCUGUCACCACAGAAGCAAGGCAGUGGGAACAGCUAUUCUUCGAUGUGGCUCCCUUAUCAGCUCUUCCUCCUUCACAGAUUGCCCGCCACCCAAACUAACUCCUGCUCCUUAAUACUUCUCUGGUCUGCAUGUUUCCAACUUUGUUAAGUGGGGAAGGCUGAAGAGGCAAACUGCAUAAUGUUCAAAG